ensembl:rRNA 5S_rRNA 5S ribosomal RNA
GUCAAUGGCCACACCACCCUGAACACACCGAGUCCAGUCUGAUCUGGGAAGCUAAGCAGGUGCGGAGAAAGACUGCCUCCUUAUACCCAGGUGCUGUAGGCU